AUUGAACGCUGGCGGCAUGCUUUACACAUGCGAGUCGAACGGCAGCGCGGGCUUCGGCCUGGCGGCGAGUGGCGAACGGGUGAGUAAUGCAUCGGAACGUGCCCAGUAGUGGGGGAUAGCCCGGCGAAAGCCGGAUUAAUACCGCAUACGACCUGAGGGUGAAAGCGGGGGACCGAAAGGCCUCGCGCUAUUGGAGCGGCCGAUGUCGGAUUAGCUAGUUGGUGGGGUAAAGGCUUACCAAGGCGACGAUCCGUAGCUGGUCUGAGAGGACGACCAGCCACACUGGGACUGAGACACGGCCCAGACUCCUACGGGAGGCAGCAGUGGGGAAUUUUGGUCAAUGGGGGCAACCCUGAUCCAGCCAUGCCGCGUGCGGGAAGAAGGCCUUCGGGUUGUAAACCGCUUUUGUUCGGGAAGAAAUCCUCUGGGCUAAUACCCCGGGGGGAUGACGGUACCGGAAGAAUAAGCACCGGCUAACUACGUG
rnacentral:rRNA from 1 species